UCAAAUUAACUUUGAGCUCUUUAAUUCACAUUUUUACAUUGCAAGCACUAAGAAUUAUUGUUCAUGCCACGAUCCGGAAAAUUGGUUCUGGAAUGCAUCAGUCCAAAACUGAGAGUUGCCGGAUCCUGUUCCCGCGGAAUCCGUCUGAAAUAAAGCACUGGUGAUACAAGUAAAACACAUAUAUUACCAAAGAUCUGACUUUAAUAACUUGUUAUUCAGUACAUGUUCAAAGGUGGAAGAGACCCUCCAGAGUUGCUGCAGUGUGUGUUCUACUGGCUGUGAUCAUAGGCCUGUGGGAUUCCUAUGCAACUUCAGAGCGAGACCAGCUACAGAAUAGUCUAACUACCAGGACCACAGAGAGACCAGCUACAGACCAGUUACAACACCCCAACUAAAGAGAGAGACCAGCUACAGAUCAGUUACAACACCCUGACUAAAGAGAGAGACCAGCUAAAGAAUCGUCUAAAUACCAGGACCACAGAAAGAGACCAGCUACAGACCAGUUACAACACCCUGACUAAAGAGAGAGACCAGCUACAGACCAGUUACAACACCCUGACUAUAGAGAGAGACCAGCUACAGAGUAGUCUAAAUACCAGAACCACUGAAAUAGACAAGUUGAAGAAGAGUCUGAACACUACAACUAUGGAGCGUGACCAGCUACAGAAGGAGAUAGAAAGACUGAACUGGGAGAACAAAGGUAAAUGUGUACAAAGGGCCCACCUUUUUAUUUGCUUCCUGAUCCACAGUUUCUGUAGUUGACCUGUUAUCUCACACACAAGCAUAUUCAAUAAGUAUUGUCAAUGUUAUCCAUGACCAUUAGGACCAGAAACAAAUUAAAUUGACUGGAGCUGUGUUCUGCCUUUGCGCUCAACACACGCCACAGGAGAUCAGAGGUCAUCAGAACUACCUAGAACGAUUCCCGGGACCACCCAUACGUAGAAUGUAUGCACACAUGACUGUAAGUCGCUUUGGAUAAAAGCGUCUGCUAAAUGGCAUAUAUUAUUAUAUUAUUAACUUAGAUUGUAUUAUUUUUUAGGGGGUAGAUCAUCUUUAAUGUUGCAGAUUGUGGCUUCCUUCAAAAGGUUGCAAGAUCGAAUCCCCGAGCUAGCAAGGUAGAAAUCUGUCGUUCUGCCCCUGAACAAGGCAGUUAAACCACUGUUCCUAGGCCGUCAUUGAAAAUAAGAAUUUGUUCUUAACUGACUUGCCUAGUUAAAUAAUUAUAUAUAAAAACAUGUAAUUGUCUGCACCAUUUCCAAUCCCCAUAUAUAUUUUCUGUAAAGGGUU